rnacentral:misc_RNA from 1 species
GAGAUGUUUUUAUGACAGAGAUUUCAGAUCAGAUACAAUUGAAUCUGUUCUUUGUGGGUCCAUGUUCCCAAUGGAGUUCUCAGUCAAAGAAAGAGUUAAGCUUUGGGUCAGAAUAUUCUCUGCAUGUGACAAAGUAGAGCUGAAAGCUCUUGAGAAGAUAUUGGAGCAGAAGCAACGGGGAUUUCUUAUUGGAUUGCAGGUUACAACAAGAG